AGCAAGCCAGUAAAGAACAUCCCUUCAUGGCCUCUGCAUCAGCUCCUGCUUUCUGACCUACUUGAGUUCCAGUCCUGACUUCCUUUGGUGAUGAACAGCAGUAUGGAAGUGUAAGCUGAAUAAACCCUUUCCUCUCCACUUGUUUCUUGGUCAUGAUGUUUGUGCAGGAAUAGAAACCCUGUCUAAGACAAACUGGUACCAGCAUAGUGGGGUAUUCCUGUGACAACCUGACCAUGUUUGGGGGAGGACUGUGGAAGGACUUUGGAACUUUGGGCCAGAAGAUCCAUUUGGUGUUAAGAGCUCUGUGGGAUGUUGUGUAGGAGCUUGGAAGAUAAUGUUGAGAACAGUGCAGAAGAUGGAGGCCUGGCUUGUGAAAUUUCAGAGGGAAGAUUUCCUUUUCAGGGCCAUUGAUAUUUUGAUUAUGAAGAUUCUGUGGUUCUGGUUAGCUGGGGCUGAAGAAUCAGCUGUGAUUAACAAGAUACCAGAACUACUAAAGCAAAAACUUUGCAUUACUGGGACUAUUGAUGCUGGUUAGCUGGAGCUAAGAAAUAGCAGUGAUUAAGAAGAGACCAGCAUCAUCGAGGUGACAUCUUCUGGGAAGUGUUUUCUGAAAGCACAAAGAGGCUGUGUUCCAGAGAUAGCCAAGGUUGUACUCCUGCUGCAGCAGGACUUGGUAAUGUGUAAGGGUCACCCAGGUGGUACUGGUUUUGAAGGCAUGAAGGGUCAUGGAAGGCCAUUGGUGAAGGUGCAGCCUCAGUUGCAAUUGACGGCCCAGGAUGGAAGGGGUCAUGCAGUGUUUUGGAGAUGCCAGUACCAUGAGAUGACCACCAAGAGCAGCAGCAGUGGAGUACAGGCAUCUGGAGCCUAGAGGACGAUGUGUGUGCUACAAAGCGCAUGGCUGGAGAAGUGACCAAAGCCCUUGGAGGAGCCCAGAAGAUUGUGAGUUGGAUUCUAGACAUUGGAUGGUUGGAGAUUGAUUUUUGCUUUUGAUUGUGACUGUGCCCUGAUAUUUUCCCUCUCGAAGAAAGAAAAUAUUUUAGUGGAUCCCACAGUUAAGAGACAUUUAAUUGUAAAAAGACUUUGGAUUUUAAAAGAUAUUGGACAUUUUAAAGGGAUUGACUUUUAAUAUGUAAAAACUGUGGGGCUUUUAAAGUUGUUUAGAUCUUGGGGAUGAAUAAAUUAAGGGU
rnacentral:lncRNA from 1 species